GUGAAUCAUCGAAUUUUUGAACGCAAAUUACACUCUCUUCGGAGAGUAUACCUGUUUGAGGGUCAGCCUAAAAAAAAAAAUCGACAUAGUCGCUGUUUCGCGGUGACAUUCGUCGGAAAUUUUUUCAUCUUAAAACUUUGUGUUUUAAUCGGCUUAAACUUUUCUUUACGAUUCCACGCCUGUUUCUAUGAUUUACUUCUUAUACGUUUAAGGUAUCGAUCUUUCCUAGACGUGGCCCUUGCAUAG
rnacentral:misc_RNA from 1 species